GCCGGAGUGGUGAAACUGGUAGACGCAGGGGACUCAAAAUCCCCCGGACCUCGGUCCGUGCCGGUUCGAGCCCGGCCUCCGGCACCA
rnacentral:tRNA from 1 species